GAUGAACGUUGGCGGCGUGGAUUAGGCAUGCAAGUCGAGCGCGAACCCCGCAAGGGGUGAAAGCGGCGAAAGGGAGAGUAACGCGUGGGUAUCUGCCCUCGGGACUGGGAUAGCUGCGGGAAACUGCAGGUAAUACCAGAUGACGUCCCCGGACCAAAGGUGUGAUUCCGCCUGAGGAUGAGCCCGCGUCCUAUUAGCUAGUUGGUAGGGUAAUGGCCUACCAAGGCAAUGAUGGGUACUGGGUGUGAGAGCACGACCCAGCUCACUGGGACUGAGACACUGCCCAGAAACCUACGGGUGGCUGCAGUCGAGAAUCUUCGGCAAUGGGCGAAAGCCUGACCGAGCGACGCCGCGUGUGGGAUGAAGGCCUUCGGGUUGUAAACCGCUGUCAGAGGGGAGGAAUGGGCGGAGGGUAAUCUCUUCGUUUUGACCUAUCCUCAGAGGAAGUACGGGCUAAGUUCGUGCCAGCAGCCGCAGUAA
rnacentral:rRNA from 1 species